AUGUCAUUUAAGCAUGGGACUAUUAGUCUAUAUUUUUAAUAAGAAAAAUAGGGCUUUUAUUUUUCUUAACCCACAUUUUUGCUGCAAAUGAACAAUCACUGGUGAGACUACUGUAACAUUGAGACUAUUACAAACCACAUUGAGUUCCUCCUGUUUGGGACUGGAGAAUUUGCUAACAACAUGCUUCUAUUCUUAAGCAGUCUUUAUGAAAGGCAGUUUUACUGCUUGAGGCUGAGAAUAUGUAAUACCACCAAAGGGGAAAAUGCUGUAUUUUUAAAGUCAGGCAGUUCUCCAGGUUUGUUGGGAGAAGGAGAGAGUCACCAUGUAUUUAAAUUGCUUGGUGUUCAGUGUCAUGAGGGGGUGCUGUUAUGUCUUUAGUCUUUCCUGGAA
rnacentral:lncRNA from 1 species